rfam:Clostridiales bacterium KLE1615 genomic scaffold Scaffold961, whole genome shotgun sequence.
CCCUUAUUCAGAGUGAUGGAGAUACAUAGGAUCAGUGAAGUCACGGCAACCCCUUGCAAAAGGAAGGUGCCAACCUGAGCGAGCAGGCAUUGCCUGCAGUCGAACAAUAAGAG